rnacentral:rRNA from 1 species
UAGUACGGCGAGUGAGCGGGAAGAGCUCAAAUUUGAAAUCUAGUAGCCUUCGGCUGCUCGAGUUGUAAUCUAGAGAAGUGUUUUCCGUGCCGGCCCAUGUACAAGUCCCUUGGAACAGGGCGUCAUAGAGGGUGAGAAUCCCGUCCUUGACAUGGACCCCCGGUGCUCUGUGAUACACUUUCAACGAGUCGAGUUGUUUGGGAAUGCAGCUCAAAAUGGGUGGUGAAUUCCAUCUAAAGCUAAAUAUUGGCGAGAGACCGAUAGCGAACAAGUACCGUGAGGGAAAGAUGAAAAGCACUUUGGAAAGAGAGUUAAACAGUACGUGAAAUUGUUGAAAGGGAAACGAUUGAAGUCAGUCAUGCUCUUUGGUAUUUAUAUCAUUGAGUGGGGUCAACAUCAGUUUUGAUCGAUGGAUAAAGGCACUAGGAAGGUAGCACUCUCGGGUGAACUUAUAGCCUAGCGUCAUAUACAUUGAUUGGGACUGAGGAACGCAGCAUGCCUUUAUGGCCGGGAUUCGUCCACGUACAUGCUUAGGAUGUUGACAUAAUGGCUUUAAACGACCCGUCUUGA